UUAGAAGACGACUACUUUGAAAGGGCUCUUGCAGGCACUAAUUAAAGUACUUUUCCUUAGAGCAUUUUGUUCAUGUGGAAGCCAGAAAGGGAACUGAAAAAGCGUACCGACCCAGUUUCCGGGGGGACCGAGAUUGCGACGGACAACCAGGAAGCGGCAGGGCUGGGAGCUGUCUCCGGCUCUCCGUUCUGAUCUCCAGGGCAGGUCCCAGGGUUCGUAGACUGCGUUCCCCGGUUCCGCGCUCUCCCUGCCGCGACCUAGGCUCCGGCCUGGCCCGUCCCUCCGGAGCCGCCAUGUCGUCCGACUUCGAAGGCUUCGAGCAGGACUUCGCGGUGCUCACUGCAGAGAUCACAAGCAAGAUCGCCAGGGUCCCCCGACUGCCCCCAGAUGAGAAGAAACAGAUGGUUGCAAAUGUGGAGAAACAGCUUGAAGAAGCAAAAGAACUGCUUGAGCAGAUGGAUUUGGAAGUCCGAGAGAUACCACCCCAGAGUCGAGGAAUGUACAGCAACAGAAUGAGGAGCUACAAGCAAGAAAUGGGCAAACUUGAAGCAGAUUUUAAAAGGUCACGGAUCGCCUACAGUGACGAAGUGCGCAAUGAGCUCCUGGGGGAUGACGGGAAUUCCUCGGAGAGCCAGUUGAUAAAAUUACGUGAAGAGAGGGCACAUCUGCUCGAUAACACAGAAAGGCUGGAAAGGUCAUCUCGGAGACUAGAGGCUGGGUACCAAAUAGCAGUGGAAACCGAGCAAAUUGGCCAGGAGAUGUUGGAAAACCUCAGUCAUGACAGAGAAAAGAUACAGAGAGCACGUGAAAGACUUCGGGAAACAGACGCUAACUUGGGAAAAAGCUCCAGGGUCCUGACGGGGAUGUUGCGAAGAAAGAAGCUUAAACCCCACCACCCACUCAUCGGGUGAUCGGAGACUGGAGUUGUAAAAAUGUGCUGCAGGCAUAAGUUCUGAAAAAAUCCCAGAAACUGUUGAAAACAUCUCUAAACAAGGAUCAUCCAGAACCGCGUCCUGGUCGUCGUGCUGGCCGUCAUCCUGGUCAUCACCAUCCUGAUGGCGAUCACUUUCUCCAUCCGAGGACACUGAUGUAUCGGCGGGUCCCUGAUACACAGCAGCGGUGGCUCGUGCUGAGUAAUUAAGACAAAACGGUCACAUGAAUCAUUCUUUCGCGCUGACAGGCCCCGAGUGACCCUCCCUCCCUCUCACCACUGUUCAGCACAGGAGUGCAGAGAGUGUAAAAAUAUUUUUAUUCUUGUUUGCAUGUGGGUUGGUUUCCUUUCCUAGGUUUUCUUCGCCCAGAUGUGUGUUUGUGGAGGGCAAGGUGAGGCCUUAUUUGCCUCUCGGGCCUUUCCCCUACCGACCAAAAUAGCCUCGGUGGCAUUCUCCGUGCCCCUUGGACAUGUCAGGGGUCACGGUUUGGGAGAGGGCGCAGUGAGUCUGUCACGGGGCUCGUGAUGGGCCGCACUGUUUGUCACACGUCUCUUGUCACCAAAUUGCCCUUGUGUGAUGUCCGAGGAUCAAAACGCAGAGAGAGAAGCAGGGAUCAGAGCAGUGGCGGGCCUCGGCACACCAGCCCCACUCCUACUCCAGCACAAUGAACAUAGUCAGCCCGCCUGAGUGCUUUCAUUGUAAAGGAGGUUUCUGCAUCUGCUGGGCAGGAAAUUAACUUAGCACUUUCUCUGUUUUUCUACGCAUAAUUUUUCUUUUUCUUUUCUUUUCUUUUCUUUUUUUUUUUUUUUUUUUUUUUUACACCCCGGAUUAUUUUUGCUGAGCCUGCCCAAUGUCCACUUUUCACAACUUUGAUUACUGGCUACAAGAAAUGUUUCCAUGCCCUCCCCAAGUCCCCGCCUCCCCAGAAUGUGCUGGCAGCGUGAGCCCUGGCACAGUAUUUCAUUGUGACCCCCUCUCCCCUGACCUGUGUAAGCACUCCUGUAUCCUUUCGGUUUUAAUAUUUGCGCUGCCAAAUGCAGCCCUCAGACAUGCGAAAGGUCUGACAAGGUUCUCCCCACAUCCAUUCCGGUAUGUAAAGAGAGCAUGAAUAUUUCAGGAAGAGCAAGAACAUGACUCCGUCAGAGUGAAAUUUCAAAUGUGAUUAUAAAUAAGGUAGAGUCCUAUAGGGGGGAUCCACGAGGAAUAAACUUCAUGGGAAA